GGCAUGAAGUUAGGUAAGAAAACCCGCUGAAUUUAAGCAUAUAAGUAAGCGGAGGACAAGAAACUAAAUAGGAUUCCCUCAGUAAUGGCGAAUGAACAGGGAUGAGCUCAGCAUGGAAAUUGGGGUCUCCCGACCUUGAAUUGUAGUCUUGAGAUGUACUGCCAACGGAGGCGCAGAUGUAAGCCUCUUGGAAAAGAGCAUCAACGAGGGUGAGAGUCCCGUUUGUCAUCUGCAGUCCCCCGUGCACGGUGUACAUUCUAAGAGUCACGUUCCUCGGGAUUGGAGCGCAAAGUGGGUGGUAAAUUUCAUCUAAAGCUAAAUAUUGGUUCGAGACCGAUAGCAAACAAGUACCAUGAGGGAAAGGUGAAAAGGACUUUGAAAAGAGAGUUAAAAGUGCCUGAAAUUGCUGAAAGGGAAGCGAAUGGAACCAGUGUUCUUGAUGAGAUUGUUGCGCACUCUGGUGAUUGCUAGCUGUUCUACCGCAAGGGGGGCAGUUGGUUUUGAGCUAGUCGUGCGUAGUGUUUCUUGUCUUGUGUGUCACCGUCGGUUCACAGGUGAGGAAAACUCCAAGGACAUGGUAGCUAACCUGCGGGGGAGCGAAUGUGCAUGGCAGUACUCAUUUGUGUAUCGAUCACUGCGUGUCUGGUUGCAGUGUUCUGUUCGCUCGAAAACUUCUGCGGGGCAUUGUCCUUGUAGGAAUCCUUUCAAGCGCGCGGGACAUCUCCCUGACACAAAGACGAUGACUAAAUGGUUCUAUUCGACCCGUCUUGAAACACGGACCAAGGAGUCUAACAUAUGUGCGAGUUCACGGGUGUUAAACCUGCUUGCGCAAUGAAAGUGACUGCUGGGAUUUUUGCACCAGCAACCGACCAAUCAAUUGUGAGAGGUUUGAGUAUGAGCAUAUCUGUUAGGACCCGAAAGAUGGUGAACUAUGCCUGAGAAGGGCAAAGUCAGGGGAAACUCUGAUGGAGGCUCGUAGCGAUACUGACGUGCAAAUCGUUCGUCAUACUGGGUAUAGG
rnacentral:rRNA from 1 species